CCCUACUCCACCGGAAUGAAUCAACCCCGUCCGCGCUUGCGCACACCCACCACCAUUCAUCUCUAGGGAUCUCGCCCCCCCCACCUUCUCUUGUCUCGUGCGAGAGGAGAAACCAGCAGGCGGCUCCGGGCUCGCGCUCGCUUCCCCGGUUGUCAAGGCAGUCUGACUUCUCCUCGUUGCGGCUGGACGGUGACAGCUCAGCUCGGCGCUCUCAUUUCUCGGAUUGUGCUCGGAUUUUUGCCUCUUUGGAAUUCUAUAUUUUGGCAGCAGUGACGGACUAUCCUCAGCUUGCUAACACAGUACUAAACCCUGCCUGCUCUGACACUGUGACUCAAGACAGACACUCUGGCUGACAGAAGCUGAAAGAGAAGGCAGAUAAACAGAUUGGAGGACAGAGGGAGAAGUACAACCUCUCAUAAAGUGGUGGCCAGAGUGACAGAGGAGCACAUGAGGAGCGGAAACGGCGUGACAGCAACAUCCUGACCGGUAACCUUGCUUCUGCAACCCACCACGCACCCAGAAACUCCAGAAGCGGGGCGUCACAAGGAAGGAAACGUGCGACCACUCCUCCUGCAGGCAUGAGGUCCUUCCGUUCCUUUAGUAACGAUGACCGCCACGUCAUGGCAAAACACUCCACCAUCUACCCCUCCUCUCAAGAGCUGGAAGCCGUCCAGAAGUUGGUGUCCACUGUCGAGUGCGCCCUCAAACACGUCUCUGAUUGGCUGGAUCAGAGCAGCAGCGACGUCCACAGCCAAGUCGACAGCCAACCAGCAGACACCACAGAGGAGGACGAUCCUGGUGAUGAGCCCAGCAGUGAAACUGAGGAUUCCAGUGACAGCUACAGAGAGCCAAGCAGUGGUAGCGUGCUGUGUGGAGUGAUGCGGAUCGGCCACGUGUCCAAAGGCCUCCUGAUCAAAGGCGACAUGGACCUGGAGCUGGUGCUGAUGUGCAGAGACAAACCCACACAGACACUGCUGGACACUGUCUGUCACAAUUUACCCACACAGAUAGAGAAGCUGACAGAAGAGAAAUAUGAGGUCACAAGCUCCUUGCCCGAGGCAGCCAUCUUGGUACGAACUACAACAGAGCCCAAACUCACACUGACGAUUACCCUAACUUCACCUGCCAUGAGGGAAGAUGAGGAGGAAGAGGAGGAGGAAGAGGAGGAGUUGGAGAAUGGGGAGGAAGGACAGCAUGAGGAGGAGGAAGAGGAGGAGGAGGAAGUGGAGGAGGAAAAGCAGGAGCAGGAGAAGAAGAAUGGGCAAGUGUUGGGUGCUGCUGCGCUGAGAGUGGAGGCUGAGGAGGAAGAGGGGGAGGUGCUGGAUAGACACAGAUGUCUGUUGGCCCUGGCAGCGCUGCGACACGCCAAGUGGUUCCAGGCUCGAGUGAACGGGCUCAAGUCCUGCGUUAUCGUUCUCAGGAUACUUAGAGACAUGUGCAAUAGACACCCUGUCUGGGAACCUCUCAAGGGAUGGCCCUUAGAGCUUAUCUGCGAGAAGGCAAUUGCCACCUGUAACAGACCUCUUGGGGCGGGAGAAGCUCUGCGUCGGGUCAUGGAGUGUCUGGCCUCAGGCAUACUCCUACCAGGUGGUCCAGGUUUACACGACCCAUGUGAGAAAGAGCCAACAAACACACUAGCCAACAUGACCAACCAGCAGGCUGAGGCUAUUACCUACCGUGCACAGCAUGCUCUCAGACUCAUGGCAUUUGGAAAAAUGUACAAGGUGUUGGAGAUGGAGCCUCUUCCCUCAAAUAAACCAUCGCAGAAAUACCCUUGGUCUGAUAAAGAAGGCUUAGGUCUAAAGAGGCCAUAUGAGGAUGGAGCAAUGGAUGACAAGGAUGUCAUCAAGAAGAUGAAGAGGAAUCUGAGGAAAGUCCUAGACAGUAAAGCCAUAGACUCCAACCAGCCAAUGAACGCCCUGAUGCGGUUGAACCAGAUCCGGCCGGGGCUGCAGUAUCGCCUGCUGUCCCAGUCGGGCCCGGUUCACGCUCCGGUCUUCACCAUGUCUGUGGAUCUGGAUGGAACUAUUUACGAAGCAUCUGGAUCCUCCAAGAAGACCGCCAAGCUCCACGUCGCCGUCAAGGUUCUCCAGGCAAUGGGCUACCCGACAGGUUUUGACUCAGACCUGGACCCCAUGAGUUCAGACGAGAAGUCGGAUGGUGAGGGGAAGAGCGAGACGUCGUCACACACUAGCAAUAACCCACCACACUCCACGGACAGUUCCAACACACUGGAGGUGCGAACUCAGGGUCCCAUACUGACUGCGAGUGGGAAGAACCCCGUCAUGGAGCUAAACGAAAAGAGACGAGGCCUCAAAUACGAACUCAUCUCUGAAAGCGGAGGCAGCCACGACAAACGCUUUGUUAUGGAGGUGGAGGUCGAUGGGCAGAAGUUUCGUGGGGCAGGCCCCAACAAAAAAGUAGCAAAGGCCAGUGCUGCUCUGGAAGCUCUGGAAAAGCUCUUCUCUGGUCCCAACGCCGCUGCAAACAAGAAAAAGAAGAUAUUGCCCCAGACUAAAGGAGCCCUGGCCGCAGCAGCAGCAGCCUCAGCAGUAGCAGCUCAGGUAGCCAGAGGAAGAGGAAGAGCAGCCCUCGCGAGAGGAGCCUUCGUCAGUGCAGCCGCACCUGGAUAUGUCACGCCAGGCUUUGGGACACCGUAUGGCUACAGCCCUGCUGCAGCAGCUGCUCCUGCAUACGGUUUGCCCAAGAGAAUGCUUCUGUUGCCUGUCAUGAAAGUGCCCGCCUACCCCAUCCCCCACUACCACUUCUUUUAGCACAGGAGACACACACACCAAACUCUUUUUCGUACAUACCAAACGCUUUUUUCAAACCAUGACAAAUUCACUUUUUUUAGAAGGGAAACAUUUUUCUUAUAAUAUAAAUGAUGAGGAGAGGAUUAAGGACUUGAGAUGAAGAUUUGUAAAAGCGAUUUUUUUUGCUUUUUGUUUUCUUACUGUUUCCAGAAACUUUUAUGAAUAUGAAACAUAUACUGCAGGUUUAAGUUCUUAAGAGAUAAACAAAAACUUGAAGGAUUUGUACUGUGAAUUGUGACCUCAUUCUUUGAGUCUAAAUUAUAUAUAUAUAUGUAUCAUCCUUUUGUUAUUGUGUUUAUGCUUUGCCAGGAAAGGGAUAGCCUUUGCCAUAUGAAUCACACAACACACACAUUCUCUGUAAAAAGAAAAUAAUAAUGAGCUGUGUGAAGGAUGUAUAGAAAUAAAUAAAUAAUAAUGUUAAAAAUUAAUAAAGUUUAUCUCCUAUAAAAGCUGAACACUGCCUGGUGUAUAUCUGAUUUAAAGGCUUUCAGCUGGUAAGGGACUUGCUGCAGUAGCAAGUUCUUUUUAUUUAUUUUUUUUAUUUUGACUUUUUAGAGCAGGUAUGUUACUUAACAUGUGAAAGGAUUUCCCCACUCCUUUAACCUGCACACAAUACUGUCAACUUAACUUACAUCAAGCAUUAAUAUUCCACCCUCAUACCGGUACACAGAUUCAAUUUAAAUCUUUCCACAUAGCUCAAGGCAUCUAGUUACAUCCUUUUGACCCUUAGUUUAUAGAUAUUCAGAGAGAAAGGCAAGAAGACAACCGAUGAAUUUAGAAAGCUCUUGUCAGAUCCUGCAUCUUGCAUUCAGCUGCAUGAUCCAAUUACCUCACAUGGAUUUAUUUUUGGCAGGUUUCCCACAGCUAUCAGAGGUAUUACCUACCGUUUAUAUGCAGAGCCUUCAUAGGUCAUCACAUAAGCCAGCUGCAGCCUUUUUGCAGAGCUCAGUACAUUGUUGUAGCUGAAUUUAAUUGAAGUCAAAUAAUGAAGACAAAAUGUGUUACUUCUACUUAGACUACAUCUAUAUCCUUAUAUUUCUCUUAUUGUCUUGUUAUCAGACAAUAUAGGGCUGUUAAUACUGCAUGUUUACAACAAACAAUCUGUGGUGCACAUUUUAAUCAAAAGUAGCAAUAAGGGACCCACAUGAAUUCAAACCACACCGUCAGUGUGUUUUAUGUUGUUUCAUUAUUUCAGUAUAAUUUCUGUAUUUUUUGUUGUUUUUGCACGUUUUUUCCUCAACCGUCAAAUAGGGAUCAGCACCAACUGAGCCACUGAAACUUUGGCUCAAAACUAUCCCUCUUGACUCAGUCAGUGUUUGAAAUAAAGAUUUAAAUAUUUGACGUAAAAAUGACCUACAGUACAGUAAUACCACAGGUGAAAAAAAGUAAAAACUAAGAGGAACUUGGCUAAAAAUGCUACAAAAAAAGAAAAUACUCCAGCAUGCUAGUCAAUGGUCAGCACCAGUCAAGACAGAGUUAUGCUGGCCCUUCACCACAUCUCGGUCAUCCAACCAGCGAGAGAUAACCCCCUGACGACGUCUCCAUGGUUACAGCUACUGUAUGAGGCACAGCCAUUGGAUGAGAGGACCCAGUAUCUUGUCCAAUGGUGGUCUUUUCAUUGACAAUCCCUUCUACCAGCCGCGGACCAUCGCUCCUUUUAUCAUUCAUCUGGGUCCCCAGGAUCUCUUCUCUGACUUCUAGAGGCAGCAGGUUGUUGGAUACUCUCUUCACAC